UACGGAGGGAGCUAGCGUUGUUCGGAAUUACUGGGCGUAAAGCGCACGUAGGCGGCUUUGUAAGUUAGAGGUGAAAGCCCGGGGCUCAACCCCGGAAUUGCCUUUAAGACUGCAUCGCUUGAAUCCGGGAGAGGUGAGUGGAAUUCCGAGUGUAGAGGUGAAAUUCGUAGAUAUUCGGAAGAACACCAGUGGCGAAAGGCGG
rnacentral:rRNA from 1 species